rnacentral:rRNA from 1 species
CACACCGCCCGUCACACCAUGGGAGUUGGCUUUACCUGAAAAAGGCGGUGCGCCAACCGCAAGGAGGCAGCCGACCACGGUAGGGUCAGCGACUGGAGUG